GAUGAAGAACGUAGCGAAAUGCGAUAAGUAGUGUGAAUUGCAGAAUUCAGUGAAUCAUCGAAUCUUUGAACGCACAUUGCGCCCCUUGGUAUCCCGAGGGGCAUGCCUGUUCGAGCGUCAUUUCACCACUCAAGCCUGGCUUGGUGUUGGGCGACGUCCUCUUUGGGGACGCGCCUCGAAACGCUCGGCGGCGUGGCACCGGCUUUAAGCGUAGCAGAAUCUUUCGCUUUGGAAGUCGGGGCCCCGUCUGCCGGAAGACCUGCUCGCCAGGUUGACCUCGGAUCAGGCAGGGAUACCCGCUGAACUUAAGCAUAUCAAUAAGCGGAGGA
rnacentral:misc_RNA from 1 species